rnacentral:lncRNA from 1 species
GUGAGGCCGAGAGAGAGGCAGUGAGCUGGGCCCACCAGAUUUAGGAUUCCAGAAAGUGGACUUGGAGGACCUGGCUCCACUGACUAGCUCUGGCUUCACUGUAAACCCUCAGAUCUUUGUUCUCCUUCCCCUAGGGUGGCCAGAUAAAAUACAGGAUGCUCACCGACACUUGAACUUUAGGAAGACCCGCAGGCCAAGACCCACCAGGAAGGGGUGUGGGCAGAGAAGGAGGACCAGUGACUGGCCAUGGCCCGAUAAAGGAAGCGCAUGCUUCACCCCGAUGACAGCACAGGAAGUAACCUGGAGACAGCACAGGAAGUACAUGCCCCUAUGAUAUCACGGAAGUAAACCUUCAAGGAAGACAUCAUAGGAAGUAUCUGUCUCUCCUAUCAUCACAGGAAGCGACCUCUGGGGAACUACUUCCUGUUACAUCACAGGGAGCACCAGAGGCACCCCCAGAAAGUACUUGACUCGGGGCCAUCACAACAGAGAUCUUCAUACCCAUUACUCUAGGAAAAGCCAUAGGAGAUGCCACAGGAACUUGUUCUGGCCUCUCACAAGAGUCUUGCCCACCAGACUAGCCCAGUUCCCGAGCCGGCCUCAUUCCCAGCAGCAGCAGCACGGCCCCCUCCCCAAUUACAACCUGACAACAGAAGAGUGAAAAGCCCCACCUAGGAGGGGCAACUCCAGUGGGGGCAGAGUAGCUGAGAAAACUGGGACCUCUGGGGUCCCUGCUCCAAAUGCCCCAUUUCAGCUCAGACUCUGCUGCUACCUCUACUCCCAUCAUUGCCCUCAGAUCUGGAGCUGGAAGCAGGAGAGGUGGGGUGUGGUUACGGGGAAGCCCCUCGUUCUAGGUGACCCAGAGGCUCCCUCCCCUCCUCCC